UUAUACUUUGUUCUCCUCAGGAUAUUUCACAAUGAGGAACUUGGUGUUUAUUUUGAGAAUAGCCUCAACGUAAUUUCAGGAAGAAUGGUGUCUCGAAUGCCUGUAUGGAACAGAAUAGCUGGAAAUAUAUGCAACUAAAAAUAAAUGAGGAUAGGACUACUUUCAUUAUCAAACACUAGCACAUACAGUAAAUUUUGAAGUGCUGAAUUCACAGCAUAAUCAGAGGAGGCUGUCGCUCAUCCCACUGCAUGAACGCGUAUCCACCAGAGUUCCUCCGAAAGGAGAAAGAGAACUGCAUGAAAAGCCCUGUAUCUCCAGCAGCGACACUGAGAUGGCUACGUAGAGCUACAUAUUCAGAAGUCAUUAAUGCUCCUUCAAUACACCGGACCCAAAAUGGUUGCAUUUGUGCUGACCCUGUUAAUACAAGGAAUGCAAAUCAAAGGGAACCUGCAAUUAUCUCACAUGGGUCACUAAAACAUCCAGAACUCAAAUUUGAAACCCCCAGCCUGUACUUUUGUUUCACUUGGACCAGAACAAACAGUCUGAUGGAGAACUAAAGUAUGUGCCCUUUCUCCUGCUACAAACCUAAGCACUUAAUCAACAACUCAUCCUUCUGAGAUAGGUGAAUGAUGUUCCUUCAUAUAUACCAAACAGGAUUUUCAUCCACAUGGCACACCAGACACUUUCAGCACUUCUCAGGAGGGUAGAGGUAAGCCCUUCUUUCUUAUGCUGUCUUCUGCUCACAUUCUUGCCUAGAGUAACAGUGUAUUGUAGUAUUGGAGGAUAUUUUAUAAUCAAAAAGUUAAAGUUCUCAAACUUUUGCACGCUAUCGAUGUGGAUGGAAUGAGAACUGAUUUACAAUGGUUGGGUGAUUCCGUAGAUAGCUCCAAGUAACGCAGAAUCUCUCCUUAGGCAUUACCACUGGGUCAUUUGUUUUUGUUGUUGGCAGCAAAUGCUAAAAAAAAAAAACAAACAAAAACCUCCAGAUACUAGAAAAAUGGCUUUUUAACAAAAACUUAAAAACAGGUCUAACCUUCAGUUGUUUACCUUCCCUUUUCCUAGAAAAGAGAGACCUUCCUGUCUCCUGUAAUCUAACAAAUUCAGGAUUAGCCAUUUUGAAGCAGGGACUGUCAUCUCUUCAGUCUUCUCCAGGAAGCUGUGAUAAGCCAAGAGCCAUCCCAUUUGUUUGGAUUAAAGGAUUUAAGGAUCAGAUUUAAGGAAGUACUAAGGACUGAGCUGUUUCUUGUUUGGACAAUCAGAUCAGAUUUACUUUACUUUCUUCAGCUUGCUCCAACUUGUUCAAAACUUUCAUGUUAUCUGAUUCUCACCUCAGACCUACACUUCUGCAGUACAGAAAUACCUUUUCUUAUCAUCCCACUCUAAGUAUAAUAAAAAAAAGCCGGUUCCAUAGCUUGUUAAACCC
rnacentral:lncRNA from 1 species